rnacentral:rRNA from 1 species
UACGUAGGGUCCAAGCGUUAAUCGGAAUUACUGGGCGUAAAGCGUGCGUAGGCGGCUUCGCAAGUCCGAUGUGAAAUCCCCGGGCUUAACCUGGGAACUGCGUUGGAAACUAUGAAGCUAGAGUGCGGCAGAGGGGGGUGGAAUUCCAGGUGUAGCAGUGAAAUGCGUAGAUAUCUGGAGGAACACCGAUGGCGAAGGCAGCCCCCUGGGCUAGCACUGACGCUCAUACACGAAAGCGUGGGGAGCAAACAGG